AAUCAUUUGAAAGUCCCUUCAAGUUGAAAAAGCACAUGCAUUCUUAUUAUGGCCACACCUGGCGUACUAGUAAAUCAACUGUGAUCAGAUUGGUUAAAAAAAUAGAGGCUGCGUGUGAUUUCAGUUCCGGUUCAAUGCAUUUGUAAUGAGGGGGCGCACUUCUGUGCAGUGUGCACAAGUCGUCGUUGCCAGCAGGCUGCACCCGACAGCCAAGGGAUUAUGUGGCAUAGCAAGAAGAUGAAGGAGAAUGCGUGCAGUGGGCUGAAUGGAGAAUUCGUGAAUCAAAGGCAACACCAUCAAAUGCAUUAUGAAAUUAAGCACUAUCAGGUUGUCAAGGCUGUAGCUCAGCGGGUACAUGGUCCUGGAUACCAGAUUUUUUUUUUUUGAAAACUAUUUAUAUAUGGAAUCUGAAUGCACUCCAGGAUAUGCUGCAGUUCUUUGUGCCACAAGAGGCCAAGAAGCUCUACUACAAGACGUUGCGGCAGAAGAUGAAGAUUAUUACAAAUUAUCCAAGUCAGUUCCGACCAAGUAAUUUGAUUGGACAAGAGGCAUUCCAGUGCUGAUAUAGAGUAGCCUGGCGAUGUCAUACUCAUAAUUCUAGUCAGAAUAUGAGUCUGAGACCGAACCAUUGGGCUGUGAUUAUAGGGCGGAACCAGGAAGGAAAAUGCCUCUUCGCUCAAUUGGAUAGACCUAAAACCAAUCAGAGCAACGUAGUAUGUGACGUAUGUUGUGCGAAGCACAGCUAUUCUCAAACUAACUCAACUGAGCGCACGUUCGAAGAAGUAGAAAAAGAAGAUGGACAUAAACGAUUUAUGCCUGUUUUGUAAAAAGAAUUUAAGGAUACACGGACAAAUUGGCAACACGGUCAGCAUUUUUGGGAAAAAAAAGUAAAAGCGCUGAGCGCUCUUUGGUGACGUGGUUGAUUACGUUAAUGUGUAUCAUCUGUCCAUCAACGUAUAAAGCCCGCCCUUACAAUUUGAUUGGUCAGAUCACUUUUUGAUCUGACCUAAUACCUCCCAACGAGCUCAAUUCCAGACUGAUUCUCCAGACCAAAUAUUUUGUGGGCGGAGUUCAGGCUGGUAUCCAGGCUAGAUAUAGAGUAUAACAGCACUGGGUAUUUUAACUAUACACGUAUCGCUCCGCUUUACGGGUGUUCUCAUAACCGUUAAUGUUAUUAACAAUCUUUUUGUAGCUUAGAUUGCAGCUAACUUUGCACAGCAAAUAUGAACAUGUUUCCAGGAGUAACAUUGGAGUUGAAUUAAGAAUGGUCGCCAGAAGAGGACCAAGGGACCCGAAUGUAAUGCCCUCAUCCUCAUCGUCAUCCGCUUAUCCGGGGUCGGGUCGCGGGGGGAGCAGCUCAAGCAGGGGGCCCCAGACUUCCCUUUCCCGGGCCACAUUGACCAGCUCUGACGGGGGGAUCCCGAGGCGUUCCCAGGCCAGUGUUGAGAUAUAAUCUCUCCACCUAGUCCUGGGUCUUCCCCGAGGUCUCCUCCCCACUGGACGUGCCUGAAACACCUCCCAAGGAAGGCGCCCAGUGGGCAUCCUUACCAGAUGCCCGAACCACCUCAACUGACUCCUUUCUAAGUAAAGGAGCAACUCUAAUCCGAGUUCCUCACGGAUGGCUGAGCUUCUCACCCUAUCCCUAAGGGAGACGCCAGCCACCCUUCUGAGAAAACUCAUCUCGGCCGCUUGUACCCGCGAUCUCGUCCUUUCGGUCAUCACCCAGCCCUCAUGACCAUAGGUGAGGAUAGGAACGAAGAUCUAAUGUAAUGCUAAUGUGUUUAUGUGUUGCUUGGCAACAGUUCAGUCCAGUUGCGGAUCUAUUUGUGUUGGCGGAGCCAAAUAAAUCAUUAAUGAACCAAAGAAAUCUGAUCAUAAUAUGUUAAUUAUUAUUGUUAACUAAUGAUUGGUGCUUGUAGAACUGUUGUAUAAAAGCAAUAUCACUCAGGAGUGAGUGCUGUUGUACUACGGCUGGGAUUCGGUCGUAGGUAUGAGGCCGUUGGCCGAGUGCCGAAGAGAAUCACAGCCGUAGUACAACAGCACUCCCUCUCGUGUGAUAUUUCUUAAUGAUUCUGUUCCAAAAUUCCAUAAAAAGUCUGAUUACUAAGAAAUAUUGAUGUAUCAUUACUUUUGUCAGUUUCAAGUUUUUGUUUUAACACAGGUCUACCAACAAUGUGUAUGAUGUAUGACUACCUGAAAGCAUUUGUCUAUGACCUCACCCAGCUGCUGAGAGAACCUUCAGAGGUAAACCUCUAAAGGUGUGCUCCUUUAUAAGCGAUGCUCCAGCAUGUGAUUUUCUUCAAAACAGUGUGCUAUCCUCUGGUUCAGUCUUUAUCAUCUACAGUUGAUUUAGGUACAAAAAAAGCCCAUUUCACAUAUCCCAUUGAUUAAAUGCACCUCUGCUGUUUGGGUGUAAAUUUUGCCAUCACUAUUUCUUGUUACGGAGAUGAGGACAACUACUUGCCUCUUUCAUGCAUCUCCUUUGUCCACAUCUAUGUUUGGGGAUUGUAAUUUGAAGCCAUUCCUCAAGUGUUUGCUAUGCCUCAUUGUUUAUUAUACUGCAUACUACAUUGGCACACUUGGGAAAAUAUAUAUAUUUUAUUCAAUGUCUUCCCUUCUACAAUGCGGCAGCAAAAUCAUUACUACAGAUUUUUUUCCCCCACUUUAUUCUGUUUUGGGCAUUUCCUACCAGUGCAAAGAUGUUUAAAUUAGUCACUGAAAGCAGUGUUCUGAAAUAUCAAAAAUAGUUGUAGCCUGUAUGCAUGGCCUUCACAUAUUUUUUGUAAAGCUGUACAUGUCUUUAAAGAUGUUGAUGCGGAUGUUUCCACAUUUACAUUUCUCAGUGCAAAUGGGUUUUUGAAUAAGUUUCUGAAAGUAGUGCUUUGAGAUGUUUGAGAUAACAAACUAAAUGGAAAUACUUUUGGUCGCUGUGUCAUAAUUCAGCUCAAUAUUUAAUAUAUUGUUUCUUAUGGCACAUUAACGAGAAAAUGUCAAACUGGCACUGAAUGUUGAAAAGGUUGCUGACCCCUGGUUACUGUAUUCCCUCUCCCGCUCCAUUACAUGUAUGUUUGUUUAUUUCAAGUUAACUUGUUUUUCUGUGUUAUUACAACCUUGCAACACAUUUCCAUUAAUGUAGUUUGUUUAUUCAUUAACAGUUUUCCAAAAACACAAUCAAAUGGGUAUUAAAACCUUAAUCUUUUGUCAAGCCAAACUCUUGAGUAAUUAUUUCAAAGAAUAGGGGCGUGGAAAUCAAUGAGGUAAGUGGGCUUUGG
ensembl:lncRNA